GGCCCAGGAAGACACCAGGCAGGGGAAUCAGUCGGCCCUGUGGACCCUGCUCGGGAAGCAGUGUCCUCGGCAGGUUAGGAGCGGAGACAGAGGCCUUGAGCGCGGGCUGAAGAAGGAGCGGAGACAGAAGCCACAAGGAGAGAGCAGCAGCAGCCGCAGCGGCAAGGAGAAGAAGCAGAAGCCUGGGAAUUGUGAGUUGCAGUGUGAUAGGGCAGCUCGCAACCUUGGACAGUGGCUAGAGAACCAGGAAGGGGAAUUGGGUCAGAAAUACAGCUGCUGGAGACCUAUGGGAACCACCUGGACAGUACCCCUGAGUCCGGGGAGCCAUGACGAGUCUGGAUGACCAGGUGGUAGAGGUCAUGGGUUUCGAAGGUGCUGUUGAAGAAGCCUUGGGUGUACAUCCGGGAGGUGAAGGACAUGUUCCGCCAGCCUGAGUUGUCUCAUCGUCAUGAUGUCCCACAGGACAAGUCAAAGCAAAACAACAAGGAGCAGCUGCGAACAAGAGGUGGGCGAGUACUGGGGGUGAGGGCUAUUGUGGGGACAGCUUUCCUCUAGAUACUAAUUCUUGAACAUCUUCUAAGUUGUAGGCAUUGGCCUCCUCAAAGCUUUAGGGAUGGAAAAUCAAGAAGUUUGGAGCAGCAUAAACAUUGCUUUGUUGUUGUUUCUUUUGGUGGUAGCCAAACUAGUAAUGCCUCACCACACCACAGGAACAAUUUUCGCUGAAGACUUUCUGCCAAAAUGGCGUCUUAAGCUGAAACGUUGGCUUAGCCUAUGAUUAGCUCAAAACCCCACCUUGGGAGAGGAAUUGAAACCAGCAAUAGGAAUGGUAUUGUUAAACAACCUAUUGUCACUUAAAAUGUCUACUAAUGCUCAAUAAAGAAUGUUGCAUAGCACUUUUGUAGCUAAAACUUCACUUCAAUUAACGCCUUCUCUUAACAUCUGUUUGGGAGCAAAAACAAUGUUAAUGUGAAUUUCAAAAUCUACUUGAAGCGAUAAUCACCAUUUCAGACCCAUUAUUGCUGGAACUGUGGAGAACCUCUGAAACAUAUAACGAGACUUUCUGCAAUAUUUUGUCAAGAAUUUAUCAUGCUUGGAUAACAUUUAUUCUGGAUGUUCUCUGAGGGCUUCACCUAAAAGUGUAAGUGUUGUGCUACUCCACCCUACAGGAGUCACCAGGAGAAAGGGAGUGUGUGGCCAUGGGACAUCUUACAUGGGCAUCAGUGAGGGGAGACUUCACCCUGAGUGAGACAGAGACUGAGUGAAUAUAUUUGAUUCAAAGUGGGAAUUCGGUUCAUAAGGGGAAAGAGGUGGUUUAGGUAAGGUGUACAGGAAGAAGUAAAGUGUGCUGAGUGGGGAGUUCAGUGGAGGGCGGGGAGGAGGUGCUCUUUCUCUUCUACUCCUUUUCAGCCUCCAGUAUUUGUUGCUCCAAAGUGGAAAUCAGAAGGAGGAAGUAAACCAGUAACUGGUUUUAUCAGUAUUGUAAAGUUUACCGGCAGUGCUGAAGCCUAUUUGGGGGUGUAGGCUUUAUUAAUUAUAAUUAAUUAACAAUUAUUAAUUAACACAUAUUGGAGAUGUCAGGGCAAGUGAUAUGCGAUUGCAGGAUAUGGGAACAUCUGGACCCGGUAUGAUCCAGGGCAAACACAUCUGCAGUGUUUGUGGCUGCAGGAACUUCAGCUCUGAGUUUUUGAGCUGGAGGCAGAGCUGCAGACACUGCGGCAUAUCAGGGAGGGGGAAAGUUACCUGGACACUUUAUUCCAG